AGUUUGUGCAACCAUUAGUUUUCGCGUCUAACUUUGUAUUAAUUUUUUUAUUAGAUGAUAAAACAUGAACAUUACUUUACUCGUGACUUAUGUUUUUAAAUUUUUUCAAUUUUUUUAAAUAAGACGACAAUCAAAGUUGAACGCGGAUAAUCAUGUUUGCACUUAAA
rnacentral:pre_miRNA from 1 species